CAGGCAGUGGCAGUUGCGGAAGGAAAGGGCAAAGAGGGCAGAAGCAGGUUCACCGUAGGAUGAGACCUCUCUCAGUGUAAGGACAGCAAAUGGCACCCAAAAAGCCUCCCGCUGCGGCACCCACCGCAAAGGGCCCUGAUGCAAAGGCCCCUGCCGCUGGCGCUGCUGCUGGAGCUGCUGCUGGAGCUGGCGCCGCUGCCGCCACUGAGAACAGCUAUGUUCCAACGGCUCUCAUAAAGCUCGAUCAGUUCUUCGAUACCCCGAAGGGUAGACGCUACAUCAUGAUCGCGG
rnacentral:lncRNA from 11 species